rnacentral:rRNA from 1 species
GGGACCAUCCUCCAAGGCUAAAUACUCCUGACUGACCGAUAGUGAACCAGUACCGUGAGGGAAAGGCGAAAAGAACCCCGGCGAGGGGAGUGAAAAAGAACCUGAAACCGUGUACGUACAAGCAGUGGGAGCCUCUUUAUGGGGUGACUGCGUACCUUUUGUAUAAUGGGUCAGCGACUUAUAUUCUGUAGCAAGGUUAACCGAAUAGGGGAGCCGAAGGGAAACCGAGUCUUAACUGGGCGUUAAGUUGCAGGGUAUAGACCCGAAACCCGGUGAUCUAGCCAUGGGCAGGUUGAAGGUUGGGUAACACUAACUGGAGGACCGAACCGACUAAUGUUGAAAAAUUAGCGGAUGACUUGUGGCUGGGGGUGAAAGGCCAAUCAAACCGGGAGAUAGCUGGUUCUCCCCGAAAGCUAUUUAGGUAGCGCCUCGUGAAUUCAUCUCCGGGGGUAGAGCACUGUUUCGGCAAGGGGGUCAUCCCGACUUACCAACCCGAUGCAAACUGCGAAUACCGGAGAAUGUUAUCACGGGAGACACACGGCGGGUGCUAACGUCCGUCGUGAAGAGGGAAACAACCCAGACCGCCAGCUAAGGUCCCAAAGUCAUGGUUAAGUGGGAAACGAUGUGGGAAGGCCCAGACAGCCAGGAUGUUGGCUUAGAAGCAGCCAUCAUUUAAAGAAAGCGUAAUAGCUCACUGGUCGAGUCGGCCUGCGCGGAAGAUGUAACGGGGCUAAACCAUGCACCGAAGCUGCGGCAGCGACGCUUAUGCGUUGUUGGGUAGGGGAGCGUUCUGUAAGCCUGUGAAGGUGUGCUGUGAGGCAUGCUGGAGGUAUCAGAAGUGCGAAUGCUGACAUAAGUAACGAUAAAGCGGGUGAAAAGCCCGCUCGCCGGAAGACCAAGGGUUCCUGUCCAACGUUAAUCGGGGCAGGGUGAGUCGACCCCUAAGGCGAGGCCGAAAGGCGUAGUCGAUGGGAAACAGGUUAAUAUUCCUGUACUUGGUGUUACUGCGAAGGGGGGACGGAGAAGGCUAUGUUGGCCGGGCGACGGUUGUCCCGGUUUAAGCGUGUAGGCUGAUUUUCCAGGCAAAUCCGGAAAAUCAAGGCUGAGGCGUGAUGACGAGGCACUACGGUGCUGAAGCAACAAAUGCCCUGCUUCCAGGAAAAGCCUCUAAGCAUCAGGUAACAUCAAAUCGUACCCCAAACCGACACAGGUGGUCAGGUAGAGAAUACCAAGGCGCUUGAGAGAACUCGGGUGAAGGAACUAGGCAAAAUGGUGCCGUAACUUCGGGAGAAGGCACGCUGAUAUGUAGGUGAAGUCCCUCGCGGAUGGAGCUGAAAUCAGUCGAAGAUACCAGCUGGCUGCAACUGUUUAUUAAAAACACAGCACUGUGCAAACACGAAAGUGGACGUAUACGGUGUGACGCCUGCCCGGUGCCGGAAGGUUAAUUGAUGGGGUUAGCGGCAACGCGAAGCUCUUGAUCGAAGCCCCGGUAAACGGCGGCCGUAACUAUAACGGUCCUAAGGUAGCGAAAUUCCUUGUCGGGUAAGUUCCGACCUGCACGAAUGGCAUAACGAUGGCCACGCUGUCUCCACCCGAGACUCAGUGAAAUUGAAAUCGCUGUGAAGAUGCAGCGUACCCGCGGCAAGACGGAAAGACCCCGUGAACCUUUACUAUAGCUUUGCACUGAACUUUGAACCUGCUUGUGUAGGAUAGGUGGGAGGCUUUGAAGCGCUGACGCUAGUCAGCGUGGAGCCAACCUUGAAAUACCACCCUGGCAUGUUCGGAGUUCUAACCAUGGCCCGUUAUCCGGGUCUGGGACAGUGUAUGGUGGGUAGUUUGACUGGGGCGGUCUCCUCCGAAAGAGUAACGGAGGAGCACAAAGGUACACUCAGCACGGUCGGACAUCGUGCAAUGCGUGCAAAGGCAAAAGUGUGCUUGACUGCGAGACGGACAGGUCGAGCAGGGUCGAAAGACGGUCUUAGUGAUCCGGUGGUUCUGUAUGGAAGGGCCAUCGCUCAACGGAUAAAAGGUACUCCGGGGAUAACAGGCUGAUUCCUCCCAAGAGUCCACAUCGACGGAGGAGUUUGGCACCUCGAUGUCGGCUCAUCACAUCCUGGGGCUGUAGCAGGUCCCAAGGGUAUGGCUGUUCGCCAUUUAAAGUGGUACGCGAGCUGGGUUCAGAACGUCGUGAGACAGUUCGGUCCCUAUCUGCCGUGGGCGUUCGAAACUUGAAGGAAGCUGCUCCUAGUACGAGAGGACCGGAGUGGACGUACCUCUGGUGUUCCGGUUGUCACGCCAGUGGCACAGCCGGGUAGCUAAGUACGGAAGGGAUAACCGCUGAAAGCAUCUAAGCGGGAAGCCCCUCCUGAGAUGAGGUUUCGCUGGGCCCUCGAGGCCCCUGAAGAGCCGUCGUAGACUACGACGUUGAUAGGCUGGGUGUGGAAGGUCAGUAAUGGCUUAAGCUAACCAGUACUAAUUGCUCGUGAGACUUGACCAU